UACGAAGGGGGGCUAGCGUUACUCGGAUUGACUGGGCGUAAAGGGCGCGUAGGCGGCUUGUACAGUCAGACGUGAAAUUCCUGGGCUCAACCUGGGGGGCUGCGUUUGACACGUGCGGGCUUGAGUUCGGAAGAGGGUCGUGGAAUUCCCAGUGUAGAGGUGAAAUUCGUAGAUAUUGGGAAGAACACCGGUGGCGAAGGCGGCGACCUGGUCCGAUACUGACGCUGAGGCGCGAAAGCGUGGGGAGCAAACAGG
rnacentral:rRNA from 1 species